AUUGAACGCUGGCGGCAGGCCUAACACAUGCAAGUCGAGCGGAGCGGCGGACGGGUGAGUAAUGCCUAGGAAUCUGCCUGGUAGUGGGGGAUAACGUCCGGAAACGGGCGCUCAUACCGCAUACUCUCUGAUGAGCCUAGGUCGGAUGGGCAAGUUGGUGGGGUAAAGGCCUAGCAAGGCGACGAUCCGUAACUGGUCUGAGAGGAUGAUCAGUACCAUGGGAACGGAGACACUGUCCAGACUCCUACGUGGGGCAGCAGUGGGUAAUAUUGGACAAUGGGCGAAAUCCUGAUCCAGCCAUGCCGCGUGUGUGAAGAAGGUCGUCGGAUUGUAAAGCACUUUAAGUUGGGAGGCGUUACCAACAGAAUAAGCACCGGCUAACUUCGUGCCAGCCGCCGCGGUAAUUC
rnacentral:rRNA from 1 species